UACGUAGGGGGCAAGCGUUGUCCGGAAUCAUUGGGCGUAAAGAGCUCGUAGGCGGCUCAGUAAGUCGGGUGUGAAACCUCCAGGCUCAACCUGGAGACGCCACCCGAUACUGCUGUGGCUAGAGUCCAGUAGGGGAGUGUGGAAUUCCCGGUGUAGCGGUGAAAUGCGCAGAUAUCGGGAGGAACACCAGCGGCGAAGGCGGCACUCUGGGCUGGUACUGACGCUGAGGAGCGAAAGCGUGGGUAGCAAACAGG
rnacentral:rRNA from 1 species